rnacentral:tRNA from 1 species
ACUACUUUGGCAGAAAAGUGCAGUGGAUUUAGACUCUAUUUAUAUGGAUUUAUUAUCUAUAAGUAGUA